rnacentral:sRNA from 1 species
AACCUAAACUCAACCUCCAACAACAAUG